GAUGAACGCUGGCGGCGUGCCUAAUACAUGCAAGUCGAGCGAAGCGGGGACGGGUGAGUAACAAGUGGAUAACCUCUUAUAAGACUGGGAUAACUUCGGGAAACCGGGGAUAAACCGGCUCAUUAUUGAUGGAACCUCGCUGAAUUAGCUAGUUGGUAAGUCCACGGCUUACCAAGGCAAUGAUGCAUAGACGACAGGAGAGGUUGAUCGGCCACACUGGAACUGAGACACGGUCCAGACUCCUACGGGAGGCAGCAGUAGGGAAUCUUCCGCAAUGGGCGAAAGCCUGACGGAGCAACGCCGCGUGAGUGAUGAAGGUCUUCGGAUCGUAAAACUCUGUUAUUAGGGAAGCGGUACCUAAUCAGAAAGCCACGGCUAACUACGUGCCAGCAGCCGCGGUAAUUC
rnacentral:rRNA from 1 species